UGAAAAUGCUGUUGGGCUAUGAACGUUUUC
rnacentral:piRNA from 1 species